UUGGAGGUAUGGCUCAAGUGGUAGAGCUCCAGCUGUGAUCAAGAAAGCCAAAGAGUAUGAGGCCCUGGGUUCCAGCACAUGUACCAGUGCAAAUAAAACAUGUCACAGAUGGGCAAACAGGCCUUUUCCUUAUUUCUCCAGAGAUCUGAGUAAGGCAGUCAAAGUACAUGUGAAUGUCAGUGUGGCUGUCAAAAGGGAGAGUGAAUGGCUGUCAAGGUCAAAAUAAUUUCAGCUAUCCAUUAUGUGCUAAGAGGAAUAAACUGUAUCCCACCAGAUUUGUCCAACCUGUCCCAGAUGCUGAGAAGAUUCUUUCAUAGAAAAUAAUGAAAAGAUUUCUUCUAGGCUCUAUCAUGUUUUAAGAUGGAUUUGAAGUAGAGGACUGGGAAUGUGGCUUAGUGGUAGACUGCGUGCCUAGCAAGCA